GGGUUGUGAGGUUAAGCGACUAAGCGUACACGGUGGAUGCCCUGGCAGUCAGAGGCGAUGAAGGACGUGCUAAUCUGCGAUAAGCGCCGGUAAGGUGAUAUGAACCGUUAUAACCGGCGAUUUCCGAAUGGGGAAACCCAGUGUGACUCGUCACACUAUCAUUAACUGAAUCCAUAGGUUAAUGAGGCGAACCGGGGGAACUGAAACAUCUAAGUACCCCGAGGAAAAGAAAUCAACCGAGAUUCCCCCAGUAGCGGCGAGCGAACGGGGAGGAGCCCAGAGCCUGAAUCAGCAUGUGUGUUAGUGGAAGCGUCUGGAAAGGCGCGCGAUACAGGGUGACAGCCCCGUACACAAAAGCGCAUGUGCUGUGAGCUCGAUGAGUAGGGCG
rnacentral:rRNA from 1 species